CCGCGAGGCUGGACAGCUCCCGGAACCCCGGAACCGGGAUCUAUUUCGGGGGCUCGGCUGCGUGGCGCCCAGGACUCUCCAGGGUCUCCCAGGAUCGCUCCCCGAAUUCGAGUCGCCCCCUCUCUCUUUCGGGAAUACCAGCUGAUGUCAGUCCGCCAGCCAAAACCAGGGAGGAGAAGCGGGAGCCAGCCCUCUGGAGUCGGGAGAAGGUCUGGGGAGUGGGGUAGAGGGGAAAGCAAAGUCCAAAUACCUUCCCUUCAGACACCUCCUGGGGCCUAGACCCCACAAACCUGUUGUGGGGAGGGCAAAAUACGAUGACUACGUUCCCAGGAAGAAGGUGCCACAGCUCUUCAGGACCACGGUUGGGAGAAAGAAUGGAGGGGUUUUAGAACCUUCAGUGUGCGACUUCAUGUGCCAGUCUUCAUCUCAGGAUCUCAAGCUCUUGGAUCAUGGGCACGGAUAACCUGUUGUCCUCCUCUAUGGUCAAGAGGCUGCUUUUGCAAAGAAUCCAGUGGGAGAGAGUCAAUGGCCUGCUUGACGUGAACUCCAAAGUCCUCCUGGAACAGGGGCUCACUCUGUUGCCCACAUUGGAGUGCGGUGGAAGAAUCAUGGCAUGCUGCAGUCUUGAGCUUCUAGGCUCAAGAGAUCCUCCUGGUUCAGUCUCCCAAGUAGCUAGGACAGCAGGCAUAUUUUUUGUAGAUAUGGGGGUCUUGCUUUUUUGCCGAGGCUGGUCUCGAACUCCUGGCUUCAAGCAAUCUUCCUGCAUCAGUCUCUUAAAGUGUUGGGAUUCCAGGCAUGAACCACUGCACCUGGCCCUUGGGAAGUUUUAUUUUUAGCCUAGGGUUGGGGUUAAGUUUGCAUCAUGAUGUUGAGACCUCCAAAGGAGAACUUAUUGUAGUCAUUCCUGAGCUCAGGUGUCCAAACUGUCUAAUUGGAGAAUCUGGGAAUUUUCUCUCGUUUUGAUUUUCCUCUUCCACUUUUCCAUGCCAGUUGGAUGUUUGAAUGUUUUUAUCGACCUCUGAGAGCAUCCGGGUAACUGAGGGUUUACUUUGGGGGUCUUUGGAGAUGAAUAGGGACAGGAGACCUCACCUUUCUUUUCCAUGUAGCCAUAGGAGAUAGUCCCACGAUCUGAUGAUCUGUAGCAAUGGGUAGAGGAAGGGCCGUAUUAGGAACAGAAGCUAGUUUCGUCAUGGGAAGUCCCCUGUUUUCCACUCCUGAGGGCCCUCACAUUCCCUUUCUAAGCCCCUUUCUGCUUUUGCUAUUAAAAAAUACAGUUUUUAAAUUGCAA
rnacentral:lncRNA from 10 species